GCAGUGGGGAAUAUUGGGCAAUGGAGGAAACUCUGACCCAGCGACGCCGCGUGCGGGAUGAAGGCCUUCGGGUUGUAAACCGCUUUCAGCAGGGAAUAAGCGCAAGUGAAGGUACCUGCAGAAGAAGCACCGGCUAACUAUGUGCCAGCAGCCGCGGUAAUACAUAGGGUGCAAGCGUUGUCCGGAAUUAUUGGGCGUAAAGAGCUCGUAGGUGGUUUGUUACGUCGGUUGUGAAAUUCAGGGGCUCAACCCCUGACUUGCAGCCGAUACGGGCAAGCUAGAGUUUGGUAGGGGAGACUGGAAUUCCUGGUGUAGCGGUGGAAUGCGCAGAUAUCAGGAGGAACACCGAUGGCGAAGGCAGGUCUCUGGGCCAAUACUGACACUGAGGAGCGAAAGCGUGGGGAGCGAACAGGAUUAGAUACCCCGGUA
rnacentral:rRNA from 1 species